UACAGAGGGUGCAAGCGUUGUUCGGAAUUAUUGGGCGUAAAGCGCGUGUAGGCGGCUUUGCAAGUCGGGUGUGAAAGCCCCAGGCUCAACCUGGGAAGUGCAUUCGAUACUGCUUAGCUUGAAUGUUGGAGAGGAUAGUAGAAUUCCAGGUGUAGUGGUGAAAUGCGCAGAUAUCAGGAGGAACACCAGUGGCGAAGGCGGUGCUCUGGGCCGGAACUGACGCUGAGGAGCGAAAGCGUGGGGGAGCAAACAGG
rnacentral:rRNA from 1 species